UUACUCACUCAUAAUCAAGGGCUGCCGCAUGAAGUGGUAGAAAAGCCUAUUGCAGGCUAUGCGAUAAGCCGUCUCACAAUUUAUGUGGUUAUUACUAUGCUUAUUGCUGUUGCCGUAAAAUGGUGCGGGUGCGGGAGCCGCUGACGA
rnacentral:ncRNA from 1 species